UCAGACGUAGUGUAACGGUAACAUUGCCUCAUCUUUUGACCGAGGCAGCCCCGGGUUCGACUCCCGGUGUCUGAU